UUUUGAGUGGCAUCGGAGUCCUAACUUUUUAGCAGUCUCUAUGAGGACCUAGAAAACAAAGAACCACAAACUCAAAACAUACAAACAGAGUAAUGUCAAAACUGGCUUUGCAGGAGGCAUGCUGGGCAGAAAAAGGGUUGGGAAAAAAAGCACUGACCAGAUGAAAGCAGUGGGGAUGGAGAACAGAAGGUGGUUCAAAGCAAGCACAGUGACAAUCAGGACGGAUGGUGAGGAGGUUGGUCACAUGUGGAACUGCCAGAAUCCUCUACCCGUGGCUACCUUGCACAGUGUGGAGAGUAUUUGGGGUGACAGGAACAUGCUGCACAUACAAAGGUUUGUACCACAGAAGAACCUCCAAAUUAUGAA